UACGUAGGGUGCAAGCGUUGUCCGGAAUUAUUGGGCGUAAAGAGCUCGUAGGCGGUCUGUCGCGUCUGCUGUGAAAUCUCAGGGCUUAACCCUGAGCUUGCAGUGGGUACGGGCAGACUAGAGUGCGGUAGGGGAGACUGGAAUUCCUGGUGUAGCGGUGAAAUGCGCAGAUAUCAGGAGGAACACCGGUGGCGAAGGCGGGUCUCUGGGGCCGGAACUGACGCUGAGGAGCGAAAGCGUGGGGAGCAAACAGG
rnacentral:rRNA from 1 species